UAGUGUGAGGGGUGUGAUGGUGAGGCAGGCAUAAGGUGGAGAUAGAGCACUCACUGCAGCCUAGUGUGGGAUGGAGGCCAAGGAAGGUGCCCCAGAAAGGGGGAUUUCUAAAAUCAUUACCAGCUGAUGGCUGCUUGGUGGCAUCUGUGAACUAAAGUGGGACCCAAUGGAGUUCUUAAUAUGUGAUGAGAGAGGGUUCUUGGGAGAGACCUCAUAGACAGACAGCUUCUUUAGCUCCGUUGAUGGCAAGGAGAGUUUGCCCUGAACUAAUGUGUCCUUUAAGAGGUGAUUUUGCUAGUGUGUUGCCUCCUUUCCACUUUCCAUGAUGUGAGGACCAACAACAAUUGCUGGAAGAUCAUUUACAAUAAAUGACAGAACAGUUGGACAAUCUGCAACUUGCUGAUUGCAAAAAAUGUAUCACAAUGUUUGGAAUGGUGCAGUGGCAGCUAGGGGAGCUCUGGGGAAAU
rnacentral:lncRNA from 1 species